UUGUAUAAAAUAAAGUGUAAAGUCUGGUUAACGCCAUUGUUUACGCCUCUCCAAUAGCUUCUUCUGCAACUGGGCUUUGGAUGGCGGUAUAUUUGAUUU